rnacentral:rRNA from 1 species
CGCCCAACAGCUAGCCCACCUAAACAAUUUCAACCUGCCCCUAUAAAUAACCCCUAAAUACCCCAGUAUUUAAACAAACAAACCAUUUUUCCCCCUUAGUAUAGGCGAUAGAAAAGGGACUCACGGCGCAAUAGAGAAAGUACCGCAAGGGAACGCUGAAAGAGUAGUGAAAUAACCCAGUAAAGCCCAAAAAAGCAGAGAUUAAAACUCGUACCUUUUGCAUCAUGAUUUAGCGAGUGUACCCCAAGCAAAGCGCACUUUAGUUUGACGUCCCGAAACUACGUGAGCUACUCCAAGACAGCCUAUUAAUAGGGCACACCCGUCUCUGUUGCAAAAGAGUGGGAAGAGCUUUGAGUAGAGGUGAUAAACCUACCGAACCUAGUUAUAGCUGGUUGUCCAAGAAAUGAAUAGAAGUUCAGCCUCUUGGCUUCUCUUUUCACCCUAGNUUACCCCCUACUGAUGCAAUAAAGAAACCGAGGGAGUUAGUCAAAGGGGGUACAGCCCCUUUGAGCUAAGACACAACUUUACCAGGAGGGUAAAGAUCAUA